UGGGGAAUUUUGGACAAUGGGGGAAACCCUGAUCCAGCCAUCCCGCGUGUGCGAUGAAGGCCUUCGGGUUGUAAAGCACUUUUGGCAGGAAAGAAACGUCAUGGGUUAAUACCCCGUGAAACUGACGGUACCUGCAGAAUAAGCACCGGCUAACUACGUGCCAGCAGCCGCGGUAAUACGUAGGGUGCAAGCGUUAAUCGGAAUUACUGGGCGUAAAGCGUGCGCAGGCGGUUCGGAAAGAAAGAUGUGAAAUCCCAGAGCUCAACUUUGGAACUGCAUUUUUACCUACCGGGCUAGGGUGUGUCAGAGGGAGGUGGAAUUCCGCGUGUAGCAGUGAAGUGCGUAGAUAUGCGGAGGAACACCGAUGGCGAAGGCAGCCUCCAGGGAUAACACUGACGCUCAUGCACGAAAGCGUGGGGAGCAAACAGG
rnacentral:rRNA from 1 species